rnacentral:rRNA from 1 species
CCCGCUGAACUUAAGCAUAUCAAUAAGCGGAGGAAAAGAAACUAACAAGGAUUCCCCUAGUAACGGCGAGUGAAGCGGGAUGAGCUCAAGCUUAAAAUCUCCGUGCAAGUUUUGCGCGGCGAAUUGUAGUCUAUAGAGGCGUGGUCAGCGUGGGCACUUGGGGCAAGUUCCUUGGAAGAGGACAGCAUGGAGGGUGAUACUCCCGUUCAUCCCUGAGUUGCUCAUGCGUACGACCCGUUUUCUUUGAGUCGCGUUGUUUGGGAAUGCAGCGCAAAGUAGGUGGUAAAUUCCAUCUAAAGCUAAAUAUUGGUGCGAGACCGAUAGCGAACAAGUACCGUGAGGGAAAGAUGAAAAGAACUUUGAAAAGAGAGUUAAAGAGUACCUGAAACUGCUGAAAGGGAACCGAAUCGUUUCCAGUGUCUAUAAUCCGUGGCAUAUUUCAUUGGCGAGUGUGUGCGUGCGUGUGCUGUGGCAGUGGCUUUUUUGGCUGCGCUCGGUGUGUGUGCUGUGUGUGCUUGCUGGUGCCCUGUGCUGCGGUGGGACGUCAAGGUCAGUUCGUAUGCUGCGGGAAAUGGCUGCCGAGGAGGUAGGGCUUACGCUUGCGUUUGUCUGUUAUAUCUUGGUGGACGAGUCGUCGCGGUUGGGACUGAGGUGCCUACAACGUGCUUUUGAGUGGGUUUGUGUCUCCGUGUGCGCCGUGUGCGGAUAGCUUGCUAUGCGUGUGUGGUUGUGUGUGGAUUGAUGCGGGCUUUAACUUGUUGCCGUUCGGGACGUUGACGAAAUGGAGCGAUCCGACCCGUCUUGAAACACGGACCAAGGAGUCUAACAUGUGUGCAAGUGUUAGGGUGUGGAAACCCCAGCGCGAAAUGAAAGUGAAGGGCAGCGCAAGUUGUCUGAGGUAGGAAACGUUGUGGGCUUCGGUCUGCGGCGUGGCACUAUCGACCGAUCAUGAACCUUCGUGGUGAAAGAUUUGAGUUUGAGCACAUAUGUUGGUACCCGAAAGAUGGUGAACUAUGCCUGAGUAGGGUGAAGCCAGGGGAAACUCUGGUGGAAGCUCGUAGCGAUUCUGACGUGCAAAUCGAUCGUCAAACUUGGGUAUAGGGGCGAAAGACUAAUCGAACCAUCUAGUAGCUGGUUCCCUCCGAAAUUUCCCUCAGGAUAGCAGCAACUUAUUUACGAUAGUUUUAUGAGGUAAAGCGAAUGAUUAGAGGAUUCGGGGAAGAAACUUCCUCGACCUAUUCUCAAACUUUAAAUCUGUAAGACCUGCAGGUUUCUUAAUUGAACUUGUGGAUGUGAAUAUCAAGUUGCUAGUGGGCCAUACGGGGUAAGCUCGUCUGGCG